GCGGCAAGCUUAACACAUGCAAGUCGAACGGAUUAUUCUUUAUAGCUUGCUAUGGAGGAUAAUUAGUGGCAGACGGGUGAGUAAUGCAUAGGAAUCUACCUAGUAGUAUGGGAUAGCCACUAGAAAUGGUGGGUAAUACUGUAUAAUCCCUGCGGGGGAAAGAUUUAUCGCUAUUAGAUGAGCCUAUGUUAGAUUAGCUAGUUGGUAGGGUAAAGGCCUACCAAGGCGAUGAUCUAUAGCUGGUCUGAGAGGAUGAUCAGCCACACUGGAACUGAGAUACGGUCCAGACUCCUACGGGAGGCAGCAGUGGGGAAUAUUGGACAAUGGGCGCAAGCCUGAUCCAGCUAUGCCGCGUGAGUGAGGAAGGCCUUAGGGUUGUAAAACUCUUUCAGUAGGGAAGAUAAUGACGGUACCUACAGAAGAAGUCCCGGCAAACUCCGUGCCAGCAGCCGCGGUAAUACGGAGGGGGCAAGCGUUGUUCGGAAUUAUUGGGCGUAAAGGGCAUGUAGGCGGUUCGGUAAGUUAAAGGUGAAAUGCCAGGGCUUAACCCUGGAGCUGCUUUUAAUACUGCCAGACUAGAGUCCGGGAGAGGAUAGCGGAAUUCCUAGUGUAGAGGUGAAAUUCGUAGAUAUUAGGAGGAACACCAGUGGCGAAGGCGGC
rnacentral:rRNA from 1 species